CCUACGGGAGGCAGCAGUGGGGAAUAUUGCACAAUGGGGGAAACCCUGAUGCAGCGACGCCGCGUGAGUGAAGAAGUCUUUCUGUAUGUAAAGCUCUAUCAGCAGGGAAGAAAAUGACGGUACCUGAGUAAGCAGCCCCGGCUAACUACGUGCCAGCAGCCGCGGUAAUACGUAGGGGGCAAGCGUUAUCCGGAUUUCCUGGGUGUAAAGGGAGCGUAGACGGCAGCACAAGUCUGGAGUGAAAUGCCGGGGCUUAACCCCGGAACUGCUGUGGAAACUGUGAAGCUAGAGUGCAGGAGAGGUAAGUGGAAUUCCUAGUGUAGCGGUGAAAUGCGUAGAUAUUAGGAGGAACACCAGUGGCGAAGGCGGCUUACUGGACUGUAACUGACGUUGAGGCUCGAAAGCGUGGGGAGCAAACAGGAUUAGAUACCCUUGUAGUC
rnacentral:rRNA from 1 species